rnacentral:rRNA from 1 species
CCUACGGGUGGCUGCAGUAGGGAAUAUUGGUCAAUGGGUGCGAGCCUGAACCAGCCAUGCCGCGUGCAGGAAGACGGCCUUCUGGGUUGUAAACUGCUUUUGUCAGGGGAUAAAAUAGCCUUGCGAGGCGAAUUGAAGGUACCCGCAGAAGAAGCCCCGGCUAACUUCGUGCCAGCAGCCGCGGUAAUACGAAGGGGGCUAGCGUUGUUCGGAUUUACUGGGCGUAAAGCGCGCGUAGGCGGACAUCUAAGUCAGGGGUGAAAUCCCAAGGCUCAACCUUGGAACUGCCUUUGAUACUGGACGUCUGGAGUUCGGGAGAGGUGAGUGGAAUUCCGAGUGUAGAGGUGAAAUUCGUAGAUAUUCGGAGGAACACCAGAAGCGAAGGCGGCUCACUGGCCCGAUACUGACGCUGAGGCGCGAAAGCGUGGGGAGCAAACAGG